ACUCUUUUAUUGUCCUCAGACAGCCAACUGCACAUCAGUGACAAGCUCUGCUGGUUGUGUCCAGCCCAUAUGACAGGUCUGAAGCAGACGUGAAGCACCAAACACACUGUCCCAAAGGAGCAGACCAAUAUCCUCUCCCAUCAAAAGGGAGAGUGACCUGAUUUGACUUGCUUUGGGCAAUGUGGGGCCACCCAGGGAUUUUGUUCACAGAACAGAAUGAGCUGCAAAAGGGAUAAAGAUCAUUCACAGGAACCUUGAAAGAACUGCUUGAGCUCCAUGAAAUGAAGAUUAAAAAUAAAACAGGGAGGUUGAGGCGCAGGCUCCAGCACGAGCACCUUAUAAACACUUGGCCUUAGAAGCGCGAGUGCUUCCUAGCGGCCCUGAGAUGUGCAGAAGAGCAGGCACUGGAGGUCCUUGUGCAGCCCUGGAGGAAUCCUGGUCCUGCCUUGUCCCAGGAUUUGCAGCCCUCACAGCAGAGCUGGGGGGGCAGCAGCUCUCAGCUGGGGUCACCAUGAGGAUGAGAUGGGAGAAGGGUUGGACCUGCAGGACCCUUUGCUGCAUGCACAACCAUGGAGGAUGUCCUCACCACUGCUUCCCUUUGUGUCAAAGCGUACCAUGCUGAAAUGAAAGCCAGAUCUUCAUCAAAGAGCACGGCGUGUCUCUGGGUGUGAUUUCUUUGUGGGAACAAAUGCAGCCCGAUUCAUGCAGAUGUGGUCCUGGGUGAGGAGGACAGCUUCCAUUGCAGCUACACAGCACCCAGCUCAACAGGAAUGGGGAAUAACUUCAACAAAAGGAGCAGAACUGGACCUUGCGUGAUGCAGAUGCACUAGGGCUUGUCAGUUUCUCCAACGAGGUGCUGAUCGCAGAAAUGAUCGAUGUCGCUGGGAGAGAAGAGCCGCACGGUGCCAGGCUCUGCCCUGCUCUCCUGCACUGCGUGGGCUCAGCAGGGCUCUGGCCCUAUGGGCUUUUGUCUUUCCUGGAGAGAAAAAAACCACGUGGAUGCGAGGUUUGAGCUACAAGCAGAUUUCUCCCUUGCCACCCUACAUGGGCAUCUGGAGGUUUCUGAAGCAGACUUUCAGCAGCUGUGUGAGGGAAAGCUAUUCAAAUGGGAGAGGAGGAAAAAUGGAAAACUACCGACGUUGUAACAUCACAAUCAAAUAUGUAAGAACUGGAAAGAUGUGUUCAUUAUCUCCUGAGCUGUUAUCACCAUAUCAAACACAUGGGAUCACUCUGGGAUGCUUGUGUCUGUGGCCAGGCACUGCACACCCCAUUGAGGGAUGGCAGAACUCCAGCAGGUCCCCACCUGGCCCAGGAGGGGAUGAGAUGAAGAGGAGACUCUGACCAUGCUGUUCCCAACUGAUUUCCCACCCACAGUGGAAGACGUGAAGCAUUUCUUAUCUUCAAUAUGGAGAGACUGGCCUCUUUCAAACACAGAUUGGGAUACAACCAUCUCCAGGCUCCAUUUGCCCUGAUGAACUUCACCUGGACCUGUUGCCUCUCACCCCACAUCUCCCUUCCCUGUGCUGCAUUUAAGCUCAGGCUCCCAGCAUUAUUCUUCUCCUGGUUGAGCUGUGCUCUUGGCUUCCUGUUUGUCCUUGGAUUUGCUUCAUCACUGGACUGCUUUUCCUUGCUUUGAUCCUGUACUUCGUUGAUAGUGAUGCUGCUGCCCGCUUUGCUUCCUCAUUCUUUGGAGUUGCUUCUCAAUGCUGCAGCCCCAGCACACUGCAAGCAGCGUUUAGGAAGGAUUCACUUUCUGCCACAUAGGAGCAUUUGGAAGCCAUUAUUAUUAAAUUAAUCUAGGUGGCUUGACAAGACCAUUGUGCAGCGUGCUGGCCUCUUACCUCUGGACAUGCAAGAACACUCCGUCUCAUAAAAGCACACAUUGCUCCCCAUUCAUCUUCACUGUGAGGUUCUUGGGGCGUGCUGCUGUCCAAGGAAAGUGAUGGGAGCAACGUGGGGCAGAAUGUGGGGAUUCACUGGAUCCCCUGGUGGGAUUAUUCAGCACUCCCCCUUAUGGGGACUGCCAGCCCUGCCUCAAACCCGGGUGCUGGUGACACGUGCAGUGGUGUGA